rnacentral:rRNA from 1 species
UCUACGGGAGGCAGCAGUGAGGAAUAUUGGUCAAUGGACGAGAGUCUGAACCAGCCAAGUAGCGUGAAGGAUGACUGCCCUAUGGGUUGUAAACUUCUUUUAUAAAGGAAUAAAACGAGGCACGUGUGCCUUUUUGCAUGUACUUUAUGAAUAAGGAUCGGCUAACUCAGUGCCAGCGGCCGCGGUAAUACGGAGGAUCCGAGCGUUAUCCGGGUUUAUUGGGUUUAAAGGGAGCGUAGAUGGGUUGGUAAGUCCGUUGUGAAAGUUUGCGGCUCAACCGUAAAAUUGCAAUUGAUACUGGCAGUCUGGAGUACAGUUGAGGUAGGCGGAAUUCGUGGUGUAGCGGUGAAAUGCUUAGAUAUCACGCAGAACCCCGAUUGCGAAGGCAGCAUACCGGCGCCCUACUGACGCUGAGGCACGAAAGUGCGGGUAUCGAACAGGAUUAGAUACCCGUGUAGUC